AUUGAACGCUGGCGGCAGGCUUAACACAUGCAAGUCGAGCGGGGUGAUGUAGCUUGCUACAUUACCUAGCGGGGGACGGGUGAGGAAUGCUUAGGAAUCUGCCUAUUAGUGGGGGACAACAUUCCGAAAGGAAUGCUAAUACCGCAUACGCCCUACGGGGGAAAGCCGGGGAUCUUCGGACCUUGCGCUAAUAGAUGAGCCUAGGUCAGAUUAGCUAGUUGGUGGGGUAAAGGCCUACCAAGGCGACGAUCUGUAGCGGGUCUGAGGGGAUGAUCCGCCACACUGGGACUGAGACACGGCCCAGACUCCUACGGGAGGCAGCAGUGGGGAAUAUUGGACAAUGGGCGAAAGCCUGAUCCAGCCAUGCCGCGUGUGUGAAGAAGGCCUUUUGGUUGUAAAGCACUUUAAGCGAGGAGGAGGCUACCGAGAUUAAUACUCUUGGAUAGUGGACGUUACUCGCAGAAUAAGCACCGGCUAACUCUGUGCCAGCAGCCGCCGCAG
rnacentral:rRNA from 1 species